rnacentral:rRNA from 1 species
AACGAACGCUGGCGGCAUGCCUAACACAUGCAAGUCGAACGAGACCUUCGGGUCUAGUGGCACACGGGUGCGUAACGCGUGGGAAUCUGCCCUUGGGUUCGGAAUAACAGUGAGAAAUUACUGCUAAUACCGGAUGAUGACGAAAGUCCAAAGAUUUAUCGCCCAAGGAUGAGCCCGCGUAGGAUUAGCUAGUUGGUAAG